UACGGGGGGGGCAAGCGUUGUUCGGAAUUACUGGGCGUAAAGGGCUCGUAGGCGGCCAACUAAGUCGGAUGUGAAAUCCCCAGGCUUAACUUGGGAACUGCAUCCGAUACUGGAUGGCUUGAAUCCGGGAGAGGGAUGCGGAAUUCCAGGUGUAGCGGUGAAAUGCGCAGAGAUCGGGAGGAACACCCGUAGCGAAGGCGGCACUCUGGGCCGGUACUGACGCUGAGGAGCGAAAGCGUGGGGAGCAAACAGG
rnacentral:rRNA from 1 species